CGAAUAUGGCCCACAGUGCCGUAUUCGGCACCUCAGUUGCCGAAUUGCGCCGGCCGCCGUCGUUUCUCCACGUCACGUCAAUCAAUUUUGCGUCGCGUCAGUCAUUUGUUGCCUCCCGCGUGCAUGUGGCCGGUGCAAACUCAUGGAACUCAGGAUUUUGGCGCCACAUGGAGAGAUCAUGCUUAAAUUGAGGAUGCGGGGAGGAAACAGCAGUUGAGCAGAGAAAGGAGAAGAGAAGGGGAGCAGCAGAGGACGAACGUGAGGAGCAGCAGCUCGAGUUUAGGAAGCAGCAGAAGAAGAGCUUUCGUACCGCCUUAAAUCAUUAUCAUGGCUCAUGGUGGUCUUCCCGAGCUUCUUCAGCAGCGGUACGACGAGAACCAUAGGGGAAGGAUGAUAUUCACGGGACAACAGUUGGGUCCGUUGCGAGCCCAGAGUGUGCACAAGAUUAAGGAGUUGGACUCUCGAUUCCACGAGCCACUCGCACAAGCGGGACUACUACCUUUCGCUCUCAUGAUGGCCGGAGCUCCCAUGGAGGUCGGUGGUAGGACACCUCUGCCGGCAAUUGAUGAGGCACUGCUCACAGGUCUCGUCGACCGCUGGCGUCCUAAGACGCACACUUUCCACUUUCCUUUUGGUGAGAUGGCAGUAACACUGAGGGACGUGGCCAUGCUGACCGGGCUGCCAAUCAGGGGUGCCCCGUUAAUAGUUUCGCGACCCGCAAGGGAGCAGUGGAAGGGUUAUGUUGCGGAUAGGUAAUUAUUUGUUAUGUAAUGCACUUAAAAUAUUACAGUGCUAUUAAAGCGUCAUUGACCAUCUGCAUCUU